rnacentral:rRNA from 1 species
UACAGAGGGUGCGAGCGUUAAUCGGAAUUACUGGGCGUAAAGCGUGCGUAGGCGGUUGUUUUAAGUCUGCUGUGAAAUCCCCGGGCUCAACCUGGGAAUGGCAGUGGAUACUGGGCAGCUAGAGUGUGAUAGAGGUCGAUGGAAUUGCCGGUGUAGUGGUGAAAUGCGUAGAGAUCGGCAGGAACACCCAGGGGGAAACCAGUCGACUGGGCAUCUACUGACGCUGAGGUGCGAGAGCGUGGGGGAGCGAACCGG